AUGCAAGAUUCACAUAACUCAAACUUAAUUCAACAAUUAAAUUGCACAAAGCAAUUAAAUCAAAUAAGGAAUCAAGAAAUUAUCAAAUACGAUGUGAAGAGGAUGAAGAUCCUAUUGGAAGAGGAAGAAUCUGGCAGAGGGAAGCUAGGCGCAGCGGAGAGAGACUAG